UGUUCGGCACAGGACGCAGCUAGGCGGU
rnacentral:piRNA from 1 species